rnacentral:rRNA from 1 species
GAUGAACGCUGGCGGUAUGCUUAACACAUGCAAGUCGAACGGUCUCUUCGGAGAUAGUGGCGGACGGGUGAGUAACGCGUGAGAAUCUGGCUCUAGGUCUGGGACAACCACUGGAAACGGUGGCUAAUACCGGGUGUGCCGAAAGGUGAAAGGUAAACUGCCUGGAGAUGAGCUCGCGUCUGAUUAGCUAGUUGGUAGGGUAAAAGCUUACCAAGGCGACGAUCAGUAGCUGGUCUGAGAGGACGAUCAGCCACACUGGGACUGAGACAC